AAAAAAAAAAAGAGGUGGAGAAAGAAAAAUAUUCUAGUCAUAAAAAAAUAUAUAUACAGCAACAAAGCAAGCCAAUCCUUCUGGGAUUGUCCGCCGCAGAACCUCGAGUAUUAAACACCUUGGUUUGCUUAGUUCCUUUACUAGUUUUUGGUUAAGUAUUAUGACACUAUAUAGCUUGCAGGGGCAAUAACUCUGGUAUUUCUAAUUUGAGAAGGUUUCUCGUUAUUUCUCUGUUUUCUUUUCACAUGACUCUGCUUCUCUAUGGGUAUUUAUUUAAAUAUUUAUUUUCAAUAAUUCAUUUGUUGUGCAAUUUGUAAUUUAUUCUUCAAUAUUUAUUGUGUAUAUUAUAUGCAGGCUCGGAAAAAGUGCAAUAUAAAUUUUGUAUCAUAUUUAUUUUACCCAGUUUAUUCUCAACACUCUUCUUAACCGAAACUUCCAUUUGCUAAUUCCCGUCAAAGAUGCUCCACUUACUAAAUCUCCACCGUCGAAUUUAUUUCAAUCAAAAAUCUAGGAGAAAUAUUUCAAAUGAAACAUAAUGUUUCAAGAAUAAGUAGAGAGUGGUGUUAACUUUAUUUUCCCUUCAUUAUUGUUUAACAUUUUUGUAAUCAUAUUUCUGUGGAAAUACAGUUUUAAUUACUUUUUAACAGAAUUAAGAAAUUAGUGAAAUAAUCUAGUCAUUAUUAAGCUGGUAUUUGAGACAUAACUUAACAUGAUGGGAGGUUUAAUUCAAAACAUGAAGUUCAUAUCAUAGAACCUGGGGUAGUCUCAAACAGGCUUGCUUCAAAAGGGUCAACUCCCUCAUCAACCAGACUUAUGAUUAAAGACACUCCUGCCCUGGCUGUGUGGUUGAGAAGUCUACUUUGCAACCAGUCACUUGAUCUUGGGUUCAGUGUCACAGCAUGAUAUCUUGAGCCAGUAUUUUCUACUAUAGCCUUGAGCUGAAGAACCAAAGAAUGCUUUGUGAUUGAAGCCGACAAAAACUGUGUGGAAGCCUAUCACAUGUUUGUGUAUAUAUAUAUGUGCGUGUGUGUGUUUGCAUGUAAUUGUAUGUAUCUGUCACCAUGUCUACCGUUAGGUUAGCAUACCACUUGACUGGCUUGUAACUUAACGGUGCUGCAAAUAGAGAUCACUGAGAUUGAGUACUAGUCUUAAAAGCACUCACUGAGAUAAAUAUGAUUAACUAAAAUCCUCCUGUGGCUCAAACAGAUACACAAAAGACUACAUUAUCUAGUAUGUCAUUUCCUUAGUUACAACAAUUAGGACAUAAACACACCAGUUGCUAAGCAGUGAUGGGGGACAAAUACAUGCGCACACACACACAAUGGGCUUCUUUUGGUUUCUGUCAACCAAAUCUACUUACAAAGCUUUAAUUGACCUGUUGAAUACACUCGCUCAAGGUAUCAUGUAGUGGGACUGAACCCAGAGCCAUGUGGCUGGGAAGCAAACUUCUUACCAUUCAGCCACAUGUGCACCAUGUGUACGCUGUUAGUAUUAAGGCUACAAAUUUUAUUAUUACAUAUGGGAACGAAACUGUUGGUUUUUUUUUAUUGACUUAUAAUUGGUUUUAAUGAAAACAGGAUUUCAAUUGUUGCUAAUGCAAAUAUGAUUACAAAACCGCCUUAAAUUUUAUACAGUUAUUUUAUAUGUAUAUAUAUAUUAUUCCCCUAUUAAAAAUACUAGAUUGUGUACCUACCUAAGAAAACAAUAUCAUUAUUUAAUAAUAAACCAAUUUUUAAAUAUUUCCGAAAACGGAGGCUGAAGUUGGAGCAUCCUUGUGGAGUUAGCAUAUGAUAAGUUGUAUAAUAAAAAAAAAUUAAAAAACAUUUCUCAGUAUUGUUAUUGUAACAAUGUUUUUUUUUUCUUUUCAUCUGAAAUAUUAUAUGUAACAACAUGUUGAAUUAAUUCAAUAAGCUGUAAUCAACAACACGUGUAAUUACUUGUUUAUUAUUUCUUUUCUAAUUUUGACAACAGUUUGUGGUGUUAACAUAACCUGGACAUUCAAUUUGUUUUUUUGUUGUUUUGGUUUUCUCAGAACAAGGUUAAUAAAAAGGAAAUAUUUAAUAAAUUA
rnacentral:lncRNA from 1 species